UACGUAGGGUGCGAGCGUUGUCCGGAAUUAUUGGGCGUAAAGGGCUCGUAGGGCGGUUUGUCGCGUUCGGGAGUGAAAUCAUCUGGCUUAACUGGGUGCUUGCUUUCGAUACGGGUAGACUAGAGGCAGGUAGGGGAGAAUGGAAUUCCGGUGUAGCGGUGAAAUGCGCAGAUAUCGGGAAGAACACCGUGGCGAAGGCGGUUCUCUGGGACCGUGACUGACGCUGAGAGCGAAAGCGUGGGUAGCAAACAGG
rnacentral:rRNA from 1 species